AACGAACGCUGGCGGCAUGCUUAACACAUGCAAGUCGAACGAGACCUUCGGGUCUAGUGGCGCACGGGUGCGUAACGCGUGGUAACCUGCCCUUAGGUUCGCAACAACUCCCCGAAAGGGGUGCUAAUAUCGGAUAAUGUCUUCGUACCAAAGAUUUAUCGCCUUUGGAUGGGGCCGCGUUGGAUUAGCUAGUUGGUAGGGUAAAAGCCUGCCAAGGCGAAGAUCCAUAGUUGGUUUGAGAGGAUGAUCAGCCACACUGGGACUGAGACAAGGCCCAGACUCGUACGAGAGGCAGCAAUGAGGAAUAAUGGACAAUGGGCGAGAGCCUGAUCCAGCAAUGGCGCGAGGGUGAUGAAGGCGUUAGGGUUGGAAAGCUCGUGUACCCGGGAUGAUAAUGACAGUACCGGGAGAAUAAGCUCCGGCUAACUACGUG
rnacentral:rRNA from 1 species